CCUACGGGGUGCAGCAGUGAGGAAUAUUGGUCAAUGGCCGGGAGGCUGAACCAGCCAAGUCGCGUGAGGGAAGACGGCCCUACGGGUUGUAAACCUCUUUUGUCAGGGAGCAAGGUGCAGGUCGGGACCUGCUGUGAGAGUACCUGAAGAAAAAGCAUCGGCUAACUCCGUGCCAGCAGCCGCGGUAAUACGGAGGAUGCGAGCGUUAUCCGGAUUUAUUGGGUUUAAAGGGUGCGCAGGCGGAGGCACAAGUCAGCGGUAAAAUCGCGGGGCUCAACCCCGCUCCGCCGUUGAAACUGUGUGCCUUGAGUGCGCGAAGGGUAGGCGGAAUGCGUGGUGUAGCGGUGAAAUGCAUAGAUAUAACGCAGAACUCCGAUCGCGAAGGCAGCCUACCGGCGCGCAACUGACGCUCAUGCACGAAAGCGUGGGUAUCGAACAGGAUUAGAUACCCCUGUAGUC
rnacentral:rRNA from 1 species